CUUUGCUGGCGACCGGCGCACGGUGAGUAACACGUAUCCAACCUGCCGAUGACUCGGGGAUAGCCUUUCGAAAGAAAGAUUAAUACCCGAUGGCAUAGUUCUUCCGCAUGGUGGAACUAUUAAAGAAUUUCGGUCAUCGAUGGGGAUGCGUUCCAUUAGGUUGUUGGCGGGGUAACGGCCCACCAAGCCUUCGAUGGAUAGGGGUUCUGAGAGGAAGGUCCCCCACAUUGGAACUGAGACACGGUCCAAACUCCUACGGGAGGCAGCAUG
rnacentral:rRNA from 1 species